UGUGUAUAUAUCUAAAUAUAGGGCUGUAGUACUCGAGUCCGGACUCGAGACAUUUUUCUAUCGUCUCGGACUUGUUUCGGACUCGUUGGUGUUUGCACUCGGACUUGUCUCGGACUUGGUCAUUGGACUCGCC